AUAACAGUGCAUAUUUUUGCUCCUGAAAAUGGUGUUUAACAGCCCGGCUCUAAAAGAACCCACAUAAAGGUUAGGGCACUUAACAGGAUUCAGAUCUCUGAGUUUUCUACUCUAUUAUUCUGCUGGAGAAAGAGAGGCAGAAAAAGCCAGACACUUUACUGCAGAAGUCUUGAAAUGCAAGCAGAUAAUUGGAGACAUAAAGGAGGAAAAUGCUUCCGAUCUUUUCUUGUGCAGUAAGGGAAAUCUUGAAGAGUCUUACACUUUUAACCCUCCAGUCAUUGAUUGCGCUCUGAGGAUAUUGUGAUGAUGUGGUGGGAGUAAAAACCAAGUGCUUUCCUGGCCCUUUACAACAUAGUUAAGAAUUUGACUGACAGAAUGCUGGCACCAGCUGUGGAAGAGCUGAUCAGCCUCAACUCCAAGUAAGUGAAGUUUUACGCAUUUGGAGGUUCACUUCAAAUUAAGUUUACAAAGCCUGCUGAUUUCUAACAACAAACAUAAAUUAAAAAUGCAGUUUCUAAGACACUAUA
rnacentral:lncRNA from 1 species